rnacentral:lncRNA from 1 species
GAACAUCCUAAUGCUAAGCCCUCAAAAUCAUGAAGCUCUGUAGAGCUUCCUGAUGUCUCAAAUCAUGGAAGCAAGAUGAGUCACAAGAAAAAUAUCCCAAAGCUUAGAUUGGGGGUGGUUUCAAGUCCCAUGGCUGGCUCCAACAGUUGCUGUUGAUAGCUCUAUUUGUGGUGAGAUUGUCAGAAAAACCAGUCCUGGAAGUGGUUGGGGAAAACAUACAUGCUGCUUUGAGUCCUGUCCAAGAUGAUCCUUUGUGUCCACUUGACAUGGAUAUAGAGGGGAAUUCAAAGUGGCUGUUGAAAGCCAAGGCCUCCGCAGACCAUUCAACUCUUCACAUGAACUCCCCUUAUGUGAUGACAUCUCCUAUAGUGUGACAUCACCAAUCCUCACCGGAAGUUGAUACCGUCACCAUGCUCUUGGACUUACAGAAUGG